ensembl:miRNA
AGGUGGUGCAAAAGUAAUUGUGGUUUUUGCACUUACCUUUAAUGGCAAGACCAGCAAUUCUUUUUGCACCAACCUAA